rnacentral:rRNA from 1 species
AGGGCAUAUGGGGGAUAUCUUGGUGUGCAGUAUGAAGAAGGACGUGGACAGCUGCGAUAAGCUUCGGGGAGCCGCUACAGGCGUUAAUCCGGAGAUUUCCGAAUGGGGAAACCCGCAUAGAGUCAUGUCUAUGCAUCCUUAUCUGAACACAUAGGGUAAGGAAAGCGACCUGGAGAACUGAAACAUCUAAGUAACCAGAGGAAUAGAAAUCAAUUGAGAUUUCCUUAGUAGCGGCGAGCGAACGGGAAAUAGCCCAAACCUUUAGUGUGUAAGCUUACAGGCGUUGCAUUAAGGGUGUUGUAGGGCAUUCUAGGUAUAGCUGUAAAUGUACCAGUAAGUCAGAAAAUAUUAGAUUAGUAGAAUAAGCUGGAAAGCUUAGCCAAAGAAGGUGAUAGCCCUGUAUACGAAAGUCUUUUAUCUUACAGAAUGUUCCUGAGUACCGUCGGACACGAGAAAUCCUGCGGGAACCCGGGUGGACCAUCAUCCAAGGCUAAAUAUGACUGUGCGACCGAUAGUGAACAAGUACCGUGAGGGAAAGAUGAAAAGAACCCCGGAAGGGGAGUGAAAUAGAACAUGAAACCAUAUGCUUACAAGCAGUCGGAGGUACAUAUGUACUGACGGCGUGCCUAUUGAAGAAUGUGCCGGCGACUUAAUGUCAGUUGCAAGGUUAAGUUUUUAUACGGAGCCGUAGCGAAAGCGAGUCUGAAUAGGGCGAAAGUAGCUGGCAUUAGACCCGAAACCUAGUGAUCUAUCCAUGGGCAGGAUGAAGCGAAAGUAACAUUUCGUGGAGGUCCGAACCGUUGUAUGUUGAAAAAUGCUCGGAUGACCUGUGGAUAGUGGUGAAAUGCUAAUCGAACUAGGAGAUAUCUGGCUCUCCCCGAAAUGACUUUAGGGUCAGCCUUGAGAUUUAAUCAUUAUGGAGGUAGAGCACUGUUAAGGCUAGGGGGAUCACCAAUCUUACCAAACCUUGGCAAACUCCGAAUGCCAUAAUGUACUACUCAGGAGUGAGUCUUAGGGGGCUAAGCUCCUAAGACAAAAGGGAAACAACCCAGACCGUCAGUUAAGGUCCCUAAUAUAUGCUAAGUGGGAAAGGAAGUGAAGUUGCUUAAACAGCCAGGAGGUUGGCUUAGAAGCAGCCAUCCUUUAAAGAAAGCGUAACAGCUCACUGGUUUAGUGAUUUUGCGCCGAAAAUGUAACGGGGCUAAGCAUAUAACCGAAGCUACGGGAUUGCUUGCAAUCGGUAGGGGAGCGUUCUGUACUAGGCUGAAGAUAAAUCGUGAGAUUUGUUGGACGAAUCAGAAGUGAGAAUGUCGGCAUGAGUAACGAAAAGAUAAGUGAGAAUCUUAUCCGCCGAAAACCUAAGGUUUCCUGGGGAAGGCUCGUCCACCCAGGGUUAGUCGGACCUAAGUCGAGGCCGAAAGGCGUAGUCGAUGGACAACAGGUUAAUAUUCCUGUACCACUAAAAGUGCGUUAUCAGCAAAGGGGUGACGCAGUAGGAUAGGUCAGCCACUUAUUGGAUUGUGGUUUAAGCAUGUAGGAGGAAGAGAAUUGGCAAAUCCGUCUCUUCGUUAACUCUGAGGUGUUAUGACGAGGUGCUUGCACUGAAGUGAUCGACUCCACACUGACCAGAAAAACCUCUAGUGAGUGCUUUUGGUGCCCGUACUAAAACCGACACAGGUAGGUAGGUAGAGAAUACUAAGGCGCGCGAGCUAACUCUCGUUAAGGAACUCUGCAAAUUGGCCUCGUAACUUCGGGAGAAGAGGUGCCUAGGUAACGUGAAGACACUUGCUGUUGGAGCGUGAAUAGGUUGCAAUAAAAUGACUCAAACGACUGUUUAUCAAAAACACAGGUCCAUGCCAAACCGUAAGGUGAUGUAUAUGGGCUGACGCCUGCCCAGUGCUGGAAGGUUAAUAGGAGGUGUCAAUCUUCGGAUGAAGCACCGAAUUGAAGCCCCAGUGAACGGCGGCCGUAACUAUAACGGUCCUAAGGUAGCGAAAUUCCUUGUCGGGUAAGUUCCGACCCGCACGAAAGGCGUAACGAUUUGAGUACUGUCUCAACGAGAGGCUCGGUGAAAUUGGAGCAUGCGUGAAGAUACGCAUUACCUAUAGCAGGACAGAAAGACCCCGUGGAGCUUUACUGUAGCUUGGCUUUGUAAUUUGGUUUAAUUUGUGCAGGAUAGGUGGGAGACUUUGAAGCAAAAACGUCAGUUUUUGUGGAGUCAACCUUGAGAUACCACCCUGAUUACAUUGAAUUACUAACUGUCGUCCGUUAUCCGGAGACAAGACAGAGUCUGGUGGGCAGUUUGACUGGGGCGGUCGCCUCCUAAACAGUAACGGAGGCGCUCAAAGGUUCCCUCAAAACGGUUGGAAACCGUUUGUAGAGCGUAAGGGUAUAAGGGAGCUUGACUGCAAGACCUACAAGUCGAGCAGGGACGAAAGUCGGACCUAGUGAUCCGGUGACUCCGUAUGGAAGGGUCA